rnacentral:tRNA from 1 species
GUCUCGGUAGUCUAAUGGAUAAGACAGUGGAUUCCGGUUCCACUGAUACGGGUUCGAUUCCUGUCCGGGACGCCA